rnacentral:tRNA from 2 species
AUUUAAAUAGCUUAAUAAGAGCAUAACAUUGAAGCUGUUAGGGUGAUGGAUUAUCUUUAAAUA